rnacentral:rRNA from 1 species
UGGGUAACCUGCCUCAAAGAGGGGAAUAGCCUCCCGAAAGGGAGAUUAAUACCGCAUAAUAUGUUUAAGUCGCAUGACUUUAACAUCAAAGGAUUUUCUUUUAGAAAUUCCACUUUGAGAUGGACCCGCGGCGCAUUAGCUAGUUGGUGGAGGUAACGGCUCACCAAGGCAACGAUGCGUAGCCGACCUGAGAGGGUGAUCGGCCACAUUGGAACUGAGACACGGCCCAGACUCCGUAGGAGG